UCGAACCGGAGAGCGUGAACAGCCACAAAAGUGGCUGCCUGUAGGCGGCAAGCUAACACAAAGGAAGAUGCUCGAUCGUCGACUUCGAUACAAGCGAAGAAUUAAGGUUCAUGUAAACUCUUCUUCCAUGCUUCGUGCCACUAUAUAAGCAACCCACUCCUCGAUUCCAUCACCUCCCGCGGUCUCUCUCUCCCCUUCUCACUCCUUGCACAAGCCUUGUUUCUUGGCUCCGGGAUACCACACACGCGCGCGAGCGUGUUUUCUCUCUAUCCGGUGGCCUUAGCAUCUGAAUCGGGAAGCAUCCUCGCCGUCAGAGAUACGUGGCUGAGAGUGUAUCAGAGAUUGUGCUCGGGAUGUAAGAGGUAUUGGCGUGUCUCAAUCUGAAGCCAUGGUUGGAUGCUCGAGUAGCCAUGUACUUGGAUUGAGCCGCGUCAAUAUCUCUCCUUGGCUGAAAGCACUCCAUCCGCCAUCCGACUCCCAGGUGUUGAGUAGGGUGUGCAAGCUAAAUGGUGCGAGACUUUUUCAUCUAAAUGAUUGGGGCAAAGUUGUUCAGCAGCUUGGAAGCAUUUUGCCCAGACAAAGUUGCCGGUCCUUUUUACAGCGCUAGAUGCUUCUGCCAUGUCAGACGUAAGAUAACUUUGCUGCCAGGUGGAUUGGCAUGGCGAGAAGGUAGCAAAUAGUGAGGAUGGCUUGCUCUGAGGAAGCAUUAUGUUUGUUUGAUAUGAUCUUAGGUGGUCCUAAAGCACUGGUAAGGAACCUCGUUAGCUUUGUGAUUCCUAUCAUGAAUCAUUUGCGAGGGAUGUGAGACACGAGUAUGUUGUUACUAGUCUUUCUAUGUUAGAGGCAUAAGAAAACCAAAUAUAUAUAGUAAUAACAGUACGUAUUCGUUCGAAUGUC